UUUAACCAGGAGGAGGCUACUMUAGCUAAUACCUAGGGGAUAGUGGAGGUUAGUGGGGAGAAUAAGGAGGGGUAACUCUCUGCCAGAGCCGCGGUAAUACAGAGGGUGCGAGCGUUAAUCGGAUUUAGUGGCGGUAAAGGGUGGGUAGGGGGGUUUUUAAGUGGCAUGUGAAAUCCCCUGACUUAACUUAGGAAUU
rnacentral:rRNA from 1 species